UUGGAGGGCAAGUCUGGUGCCAGCAGCCGCGGUAAUUCCAGCUCCAAUAGCGUAUAUUAAAGUUGUUGCAGUUAAAAAGCUCGUAGUUGAAUUUCGGGAUUCUACCGUUGGUCGGGCUAACAAGUCUGUACUGGUGUGUAGAAUUUCUACCUUCUGGGGAACUAUCAUGUUAUUAAUUUAGCGUGGUGGGAAACCAGGACCUUUACCUUGAAAAAAUUAGAGUGUUCAAAGCAGGCUUACGUCUGAAUACAUUAGCAUGGAAUAAUAAAAUAGGACGGUGGUCCUGUUUUGUUGGUUUCUGAAUCACCGUAAUGAUUAAUAGGGAUAGUUGGGGGCAUUAGUAUUCAAUUGUCAGAGGUGAAAUUCUUGGAUUUAUUGAAGACUAACUUCUGCGAAAGCAUUUGCCAAGGAUGUUUUCAUUAAUCAAGAACGAAAGUUAGGGGAUCGAAGACGAUCAGAUACCGUCGUAGUCUUAWCCAUAAACUAUGCCGACUAGGGAUCGGACGAUGUUAAAUUUUAUUGACUCGUUCGGCGCCUUACGGGAAAC
rnacentral:rRNA from 1 species